GCAACUCAGUUGGAUAGAGCGUCGGUUUCCGGUACCGAAGGCCGGGGGUUCAAGUCCCUCCCGAUGCGCCA
rnacentral:tRNA from 1 species